UCUCUCUCUCUCUCUCUUAUUUUGCCUUGUUUUCUUACACAAGGUUUAACCUGUACGACUAGAUGUAUAUACCAGUUAUAAGAAUUAAAUGUUCUAAUCAACGCACACUUUUUUUUUGGGAGAGGGGGACACAAUUUACAAUUUUUCCUAAUUUUUUUUCCUGCAGUUUUGUUCAUCGGUAUCGUCUAUUUUUCUAAGGGCAAGUUUAGUUCUGAAUUACUGAGAACUAGUGUAGAAAAUGAUUUUGGAACUGUAGGCGUACUGAAAGGGAAAAGGAGAAACAGAAAAUGAAAUUGGAAAGUUUUUACUUGCCACUUUACACAGACAUGUUCAAUGUUAAAGGUUUUCAAGAACUGUGCUACUAUCCAAGCUAAAAAGGGGAGAGAGCAAAAAAAAAAAAAA
rnacentral:misc_RNA from 1 species